rnacentral:rRNA from 1 species
CCUACGGGCGGCUGCAGUGGGGAAUAUUGGACAAUGGGCGAAAGCCUGAUCCAGCCAUGCCGCGUGUGUGAAGAAGGCCUUCGGGUUGUAAAGCACUUUCAGUGGGGAAGAAAGCCUUGGGGCUAAUACCCUCGAGGAAGGACAUCACCCACAGAAGAAGCACCGGCUAACUCCGUGCCAGCAGCCGCGGUAAUACGGAGGGUGCGAGCGUUAAUCGGAAUUACUGGGCGUAAAGCGCGCGUAGGCGGUCUGAUAAGCCGGUUGUGAAAGCCCCGGGCUCAACCUGGGAACGGCAUCCGGAACUGUCAGGCUAGAGUGCAGGAGAGGAAGGCAGAAUUCCCGGUGUAGCGGUGAAAUGCGUAGAGAUCGGGAGGAAUACCAGUGGCGAAGGCGGCCUUCUGGACUGACACUGACGCUGAGGUGCGAAAGCGUGGGUAGCAAACAGGAUUAGAUACCCCGGUAGUC